rnacentral:rRNA from 1 species
AUACGGAGGAUCCGAGCGUUAUCCGGAUUUAUUGGGUUUAAAGGGUGCGCAGGCGGCCAUUUAAGUCAGCGGUUAAAUCUUGGGGCUCAACCCCAUUCUGCCGUUGAUACUGGGUGGCUUGAUUGCGGUCGAGGUUGGCGGAAUUCGUUGUGUAGCGGUGAAAUACAUAGAUAUGACGAAGAACACCGAUUGCGUAGGCAGCUGACCAGAUCGCAAAUGACGCUCAUGCACGAAAGUGCGGGGAUCGAACAGGAUUAGAUACCCUGGUAGUCCGCACAGUAAACGAUGAAUACUUGUUUUCGGCGAUAUAAUGUCGGAGGCAAAGCGAAAGCGAUAAGUAUUCCACCUGGGGAGUACGCCAGCAACGGUGAAACUCAAAGGAAUUGACGGGG